CUGCUUGUUUCGGCAGCACAUAUACUAAAAUUAGGAUGAUACAGAUUAGCAUGGCCCCUGCGUAAGGAUCACACGCAAAUUCAUGAAGCGUUCCAUAUUUUU